AAAUGGCCCUAUAGCUCAGUUGGUUAGAGCACCCGACUCAUAAAUUUUGUGACCUAUAGUAGUAAUACUAUUUGGAAAAAUCGGAUGAAUUGCUGGAAAGCUUCGUUUAUUUAUAAACAUGCCAAUCAGCAGCCAAGCCUGAUAAGCGUAUCAGGAAGGUUCAGAGACUAGGUGGAGUAACACGUUCUUGUUACGUAAUACACCAUUAGCGUCCGACACCCUAUCGUUAUCGAGGGUGAUGAUAUAGUCCAGGCCCAAGUGAAAACUUGGG
rnacentral:ncRNA from 1 species